UACGAAGGGGGCUAGCGUUGCUCGGAAUCACUGGGCGUAAAGCGCACGUAGGCGGAUUGCUAAGUCAGGGGUGAAAUCCUGGAGCUCAACUCCAGAACUGCCUUUGAUACUGGCGAUCUCGAGUCCGGGAGAGGUGAGUGGAGCUGCGAGUGUAGAGGUGAAAUUCGUAGAUAUUCGCAAGAACACCAGUGGCGAAGGCGGCUCACUGGCCCGGUACUGACGCUGAGGUGCGAAGGCGUGGGGAGCAAACAGG
rnacentral:rRNA from 1 species